rnacentral:rRNA from 1 species
UACGAAGGGGGCUAGCGUUGCUCGGAAUCACUGGGCGUAAAGGGUGCGUAGGCGGGUCUUUAAGUCAGGGGUGAAAUCCUGGAGCUCAACUCCAGAACUGUCUUUGAUACUGAGGAUCUUGAGUUCGGGAGAGGUGAGUGGAACUGCGAGUGUAGAGGUGAAAUUCGUAGAUAUUCGCAAGAACACCAGUGGCGAAGGCGGCUCACUGGCCCGGUACUGACGCUGAGGUGCGAAAGCGUGGGGAGCAAACAGG